UGGAAAGGGGUUUGAGUCUUAACCAGGUAACCCUAGCGAACUGAUGAGAAGCUUGCUUCUCUGAUGUUAGCGGCGGACGGGUGAGUAACACGUGGGCAACCUGCCCUAUAGUUGGGGAUAACUCCGGGAAACCGGGGCUAAUACCGAAUGAUUCAUUUCAUCUCCUGAUGAAAUGCUGAAAGAUGGUUCUGCUAUCGCUAUAGGAUGGGCCCGCGGCGCAUUAGCUAGUUGGUGAGGUAACGGCUCACCAAGGCGACGAUGCGUAGCCGACCUGAGAGGGUGAUCGGCCACACUGGGACUGAAACACGGCCCAGACUCCUACGGGAGGCAGCAGUAGGGAAUCUUCCACAAUGGGCGAAAGCCUGAUGGAGCAACGCCGCGUGAGUGAUGAAGGUUGUUCUGAGUAUACGUAUAUCUCUGUUGUAAGAGAGAAGCACCUCGUACUAGUAGUAGCUGCGUUGUAUCUUGACGGUAGCACUUAUUAGAAAGCACACGUCUAACUACGUGCCAGCAGCCGCGGUAAUAUGAGUAGGUGGCAAGCGUUGUCUCGUAAUUAUUGUGCGUACAAGCGCGCGCAGCGCGGUCCUCUUAUGUCUAUGAUGUGAAAGCCCGCGGCUCAACCGUGGAGUGUCAUUGGACACUGGAGAUGUGUGUGCAGAAGAGGAGAGAGUAUUCCAAGUGUCGCGGUGAGUGUGUAGAGAUUUGGAGGCACCGAGUGGCGAGGGAGUUUUUGUUGUCUGUAUCUGACGUGACGCGAGAGCGUGUGGAGAACAAACAAUAUGAUAUCCCGUUGUUGUCCACGCUGUAAGCGAUGUGUUAAAAGUGUGGGGGUUUCUCCGCCCUUUUGUGCACAGAAAACACAUUGCACACUCCGCGUGGAGAGGGGGUCGCGAGAGAAAAACUAAAGAAAAUUGGGGGGGCCCCGCACGAGCUGUGGCGCAUGUUUUUUUUUUAAAAGCAACGAGAAGAACUUUCACGUCUCUUGACAUCCCUGAGACCUAUGGGGAGAUAUAGCCUUCUUUUGGGACAGAGCGGUCACAGGUGGCGCAUGGUUGUUCUCAUCUUGUGUUGAGAUGUUGGGUUAAAAGUCCCACAGAGAGCACCCCCCUUGAUUUUAGUUGCUCUCAUUCAUGGGGGCACUAAUAUGAGAGCCGCGGAUAAAAAGGGGAGGAAGGGGGGGAAGGUGUCAAAUUCUCAUGCCCCUUAUGACGGGGGCCACACACGUGCCACAAUGGGGUACACAAACGGCCCCAACCCGAGAGGGGGACACAAUGAUAAAAAACCGUUCUCAGUUGGGAUAGAGUGCACAACUCGCACACAUGAAGCUGGAAUCUCUAGUAAUCGCGGAUCAGCAUGCCGCGGUGAAUUUGUUCCCGGGCUGUUCACACACCCCGUCGUCACCCCGAGAGAGUUAGCAACACCAGAAGUGUGGUGAGGUACAGUUUGGAGCCAGCCUCCGGAUCAGACAGAAAUUUCCC
rnacentral:rRNA from 1 species